GACGACGCUGGCGGCGUGCCUAACACAUGCAAGUCGAACGGAGUUGCCCUUCGGGACAACUUAGUGGCGAACGGGUGAGUAACGCGUGAGAAACCUGCCUUUCAGUGGGGGGACAACAGUUGGAAACGACUGCUAAUACCGCAUAAUGUAUCGAGAGGGCAUCCUCUUGAUACCAAAGAUUUAUUGCUGAAAGGUGGUCUCGCGUCUGAUUAGCUAGUUGGUGAGGUAACGGCUCACCAAGGCGACGAUCAGUAGCCGGUCUGAGAGGAUGAACGGCCACAUUGGGACUGAGAUACGGCCCAGACUCCUACGGGAGGCAGCAGUGGGGAAUAUUGGGCAAUGGGCGAAAGCCUGACCCAGCAACGCCGCGUGAAGGAAGAAGGCCUUCGGGUUGUAAACUUCUUUUAGCAGGGACGAAGGACGUGACGGUACCUGCAGAAAAAGCAACGGCUAACUACGUG
rnacentral:rRNA from 1 species